CAGCCGCCGCGGUAAUACGAAGGGUGCAAGCGUUACUCGGAAUUACUGGGCGUAAAGCGUGCGUAGGUGGUGGUUUAAGUCCGUUGUGAAAGCCCUGGGCUCAACCUGGGAAUUGCAGUGGAUACUGGGUCACUAGAGUGUGGUAGAGGAUAGUGGAAUUUCCGGUGUAGCAGUGAAAUGCGUAGAGAUCGGAAGGAACAUCUGUGGCGAAGGCGACUAUCUGGGCCAACACUGACACUGAGGCACAAAAGCGUGGGGAGCAAACAGGAUUAGAGACCCGCGUAGUCCCUGUCUCUUAUAC
rnacentral:rRNA from 1 species